rnacentral:rRNA from 1 species
CCUACGGGGGGCUGCAGUGGGGAAUAUUGGACAAUGGGCGAAAGCCUGAUCCAGCCAUGCCGCGUGUGUGAAGAAGGCCUUCGGGUUGUAAAGCACUUUCAGUGGGGAAGAAAGCCUUGGGGCUAAUACCCUCGAGGAAGGACAUCACCCACAGAAGAAGCACCGGCUAACUCCGUGCCAAGCAGCCGCGGUAAUACGGAGGGUGCGAGCGUUAAUCGGAAUUACUGGGCGUAAAGCGCGCGUAGGCGGUCUGAUAAGCCGGUUGUGAAAGCCCCGGGCUCAACCUGGGAACGGCAUCCGGAACUGUCAGGCUAGAGUGCAGGAGAGGAAGGUAGAAUUCCCGGUGUAGCGGUGAAAUGCGUAGAGAUCGGGAGGAAUACCAGUGGCGAAGGCGGCCUUCUGGACUGACACUGACGCUGAGGUGCGAAAGCGUGGGUAGCAAACAGGAUUAGAUACCCGGGUAGUC